GGCUCUGAAUAGGCAAACAGGGCUGUUGCUGACAUAGACACACAAAUGUAAGGUCAUUUUGGAAACGCAGCCAUCACACUGACCUAAUGGUAUCUGUGACUUAUUUUCCAAUCCAGGGCACAAAACAGCUUCUGCUAGCAAACGUGUCCUGCCAGACACGUGGAGAAAUAGAAAGUUGAUGGCCCCAGUGAAUGGGACACAGACAGCCAAGAACUGCACAGAUCCCGGUCCUUGUACUCCUAAUGAGGAGAGUGAACAUGAAAUUUAUCAUCCAAACUGUGACACUUUUGAGAGAAGGGGAUACUAUUCAUUAUACUGGACAGCAGAUGUGAAUCAGGACUGUCCUAGAGAAACCAGAGGAUAUAAAAGAUCCAAUAAUGACAACUGCUAUGUUAUUCAUAAGAGUUCAUUCAUACAGGAGUUGAUUUCAUGCUUGUGUUUCAUGAAUAAAGGGUCAAUCAAGUCAACAAAUAUGAGGGCUGAGUUGUUUUUCCCCAAAAGAUAUGGUGAAGUCCUAACCUGCUAUUUGUAAAUGUGACCUUCAUUGGAAAUAGGGUCUCUGCAGAUGUACUUGGUCGAGAAGAGGUUAUGCUGGAUGAAGGUGGGCCCUAAAUACAGUCACUGGUGUCCUUAUAAAAAGUCCAUGUGAAGACACAGGGACAAAGAGGGGGAGGCCAGAUAAAGACAGGGGCAGACAUUGGGGUGAUCUGGGCCCACAAGCCAAGGAAUGCCAGGGACUGCCAGCUGUCACAGAUGCCGGGAGAAAGACAUGGUGCCAAUUGCCCCUAAGUCUCCAGAAGGAACCAACCCUGUCGACACUUUGAUAUUGAAUUUCCAGCCUACAGAACUGUGAUAAAAUACAUUUCUGGGCUGGGCACGGUGGCUCACACCUGUAAUCCUAGCACUUUGGGAGGCCAAGGCAGGUGGAUCAUGAGGUCAGGAGUUAGACACUAGCCUGGCCAAUAUGGUGAAACCCUGUCUCUACUAAAAAUACAAAAAUUAGCCGGGCACAGUGGCAUGUGCCUAUAGUCCCAGCUACUCGGGAGGUUGAGGCAGAAGAAUUGCUUGAACCUGGGGGCAGAGGUUGCAGUGAGCCAAGAUCGUGCCACUGCACUCCAGCCUGGCGACAGAGCGAGACUCUGUCUCAAAAAAAAAAAAAUUCUGUUGUUUUAAGUAUAUAAUACUUUGUUAAGACAGUCCUAAGAAACUCUAUUGUAAAAGCUUUAAUAUAAG
rnacentral:lncRNA from 1 species